AAAAAAAAAUCCAUCAGAGUUUGUGCAUCCCCAAAUUUACAAAAGACCUACUUUACCUCUGGUCAUAAAAGCAAGGGAGAAAACUUUAUGGGGGAAAAAUUUUGCAACAGCAUUUCGUAAAAACAUUAAUUUUUGGAUGGUAAUGUUGCUCAAGGACCACAGCAGAUGAGGAUCUUCAGUCACACCACUCCUGAGGGAAGGCGGAGAACAAGCUGUCCUCCAAACACACUCUUGACAUAAUAAUAACAGAAGUCUGCUAAGAUGAA
rnacentral:misc_RNA from 1 species